AGAAGAUCCAAAGAGAGGUUCUGUGCACUUCCAAGGGAAAUGACCAACAGUGGAAACUGGAGAGCAAGGAUCAGCAAACAAAGCCUCUCAUCCUUCUAGCUGCUUUCCUUGACUAAUUAGCUGUGAUGGCCUGGGAAUCAGCAUAUUUAGCAAACUGUUAAAAAGUUCAUAAUGAGGUUCCUUCAAUAGUUGUUUUCUUUUGUUUGCUUGUUUGUUUGUUUUGAGACACAGUUUUGCUCUUGUCGCCCAUGCCGGAGUGCAAUGGCGCGAUCUUGGCUCACUGCAACCUCCACUCCUGGGUUCAAGCGAUUCUCCUGCCUCAGCCUCCAAAGUAGCUGGAAUUACAGGUGCCCACCACCAUGCCAAUCUAAUUUUUUGUAUUUUUAGUAGAGAUGGGGUAACACUGUGUUGGCCAGGCUGGUCUCAAACUCCUGACCUCAGGUGAUCCACCAGCAUCAGCCUCCUAAAGUGCUGGGAUUACAGGUGUGAGCCACCACGCCUGGCCCCUGCCUGAAAUAUCUUAAUCCUUCAAAAAACAUUGCUGGGUGUGGAAGGUGGAAAUGGCUUACGGAAGGCAGCCUCUGGGGCAGCGCCAUCACUUUAGCCAGGGUUUCCUCUUUCCCCUACUCUGUCCUCUGAAUUCCCCAGCUGCAGCUGCGUAAUGUUAAGAAUCACUUUGCAUCGCAGGCAGCUUGGGGAUCUGGCUGAGAUCUGAGAUUGAAAUGUCACAUAAAAUCGUGGGUCAGUGGUCAUACAUAGUAGAAAGGAAAAUCACAAGGGGAGAGCAAAGCCUUGGAAGUUCCCCUAGCUCACAGUGUAGCCCUCAGCACAGCCUGCAGCCACUUGGCACCGCUGAUACUGAGGGCCUAGGCGGCUGUUACUGAGGCAAUAGUCUCCAUUGUUGUGGGCAGCCUCCCAGGGUAAUUGACAGCGACAGGGGUUAGGCAAGGGAGAAAGACCGAAGAACAGACAUCAAAGGCAAUUACCACAAAACCCAGCUUGCCCUGAAUGGAGGCAGUCACUCAGAAUAUCAUUUUGGAGAUAAAUUCCCGAGACCGAUUAAAAAUUUUGAUAGUUACCAAGGUAAAAAUAAAACCCUAGGGUUUUCUAUGAAAAAGAUGUUUUCACCAACAGCAAAGCAGCAUCUGCUUCCUGGGGUUGGAUAUUUCCUGGUUUGCAAAUACACUCCUCUCCAGUACCUCAAACACUGAUUACAUUUCCAAAGUGGUCCCAUCUGUUUUUCAUUCCUCAGUAAAUUCAUACAUUCUUUUCUGCCAGCUUGCAUCAAGUAGUUACGCAGCAUCUACUGCAUGCAAAGCAUUGCUUCAGCUGAUAUGAAAAUUUCACCUUGGACGUGGGCAGGGGAACAUAUUAAUGCGAGAUCUUGCUUUAAUUAUCACCCUGCCAAUUAUUUUUGUCAGUAUUGGCUCGAGGCCAUCAGGAAAAAAUCCUCUCCAGGGGCCAUAAAAUCUGAUAGACCAGAUGUUUGGAUGUUUCCUGAGAAUUAAGCUCUUCUUAUUUUUCUCCGCCCCCCGCCCCUCUUUUUUUUUUUUUUUUUGAGAUGGAGUCUUGCUCUGUCACCCAGGCUGGAGUGCAGUGGCACAAUCUCAGCUCACUACAACCUCUGGAAGUUAUUCUCAUGCCUCAACCUCCUGAGUAGCUGGGACUACAGGCACACACCACCAUGCCUGGCUAUUUUUUGUAUUUUUAGUAGAGAUGGGUUUUCACCUUGUUGGCUAGGCUGGUCUCAAACUCCUGAGAUCAAGUGAUCCUCCUGUUUCGGCCUCCCGAAGUGUUGGGACUACAGGUGUGAGCCACUGUGCCCAGCCUCUUCUCCUUAAUAUUGGAAAUAGAUCCCAAAUACAAAUGCCUUCAUUACAAAAAUAUUUUAAUAUACUUCUAUUUUAGUGUAUAUACUUCUCAACUUUCCUUUAUUGGUAAUACACAUGCAUAUUAACUCCCCGCCUUUUUUUUUGAGACAGGGUCUCACUGUCGCCCAGGCUGAAGUCCAGUGGUGCGAUCUCAGCUCACUGUAGCCUCAACCUUCUAGGCUCAAGUGAUCUUCCCACCUUAGCUUCUCAAAGUGCUGGGAUUACAGGCAUGAGCCACCACACCCAACCCCAUUUUCAUUUAACAGUAUACCCUAAAGGUUUUUUCGUAUCAAUAAAAUAUCCAAAU
rnacentral:lncRNA from 10 species